GACGAACGCUGGCGGCGUGCUUAACACAUGCAAGUCGAACGGUGAAGCAGUGCUUGCUCUGUGUACACGAUGCGCACGGGUGUGUAACACGUGAGCAAACUGCCCCUUAACCUGGGAUAAACGCUGGAAACGGUGUCUAAUACUGGAUCUAAGCUCCGAUCGUAUGGUCUGUUGUUGGAAAAAUUUUUCGGUUUGGGUUGGGCUUCCGGCCUAUAAGCUUGUUGGUGAGGUAAUGGAUCACCAAGGGGUAGGCGGGUAGCCGGCCUGAGAGGGUGACCGGCCACACUGGGACUGAGACACGGCCCAGACUCCUACGGGAGGCAGCAGUGGGGAAUAUUGCACAAUGGGCGGAAGCCUGAUGCAGCAACGCCGCGUGGGGGAUGACGGCCUUCGGGUUGUAAACCUCUUUUAGCAGGGAAGAAGCGAAAGUGACGGUACCUUCAGAAAAAGCGCCGGCUAACUACGUG
rnacentral:rRNA from 1 species